CUUGCUUUGAUGGAUGGCGACCGGCGCACGGGUGAGUAAUACGUAUCCAACCUGCCGACAACACUGGGAUAGCCUUUCGAAAGAAAGAUUAAUACCGGAUGGCAUAGUUUUCCCGCAUGGGAUAAUUAUUAAAGAAUUUCGGUUGUCGAUGGGGAUGCGUUCCAUUAGGCAGUUGGCGGGGUAACGGCCCACCAAACCAGCGAUGGAUAGGGGUUCUGAGAGGAAGGUCCCCCACAUUGGAACUGAGACACGGUCCAAACUCCUACGGGAGGCAGCAGUGAGGAAUAUUGGUCAAUGGACGAGAGUCUGAACCAGCCAAGUAGCGUGAAGGAUGACUGCCCUAUGGGUUGUAAACUUCUUUUAUACGGGAAUAAAGUUAGCCACGUGUGGCUUUUUGUAUGUACCGUAUGAAUAAGGAUCGGCUAACUCCGUGCCAGCAGCCGCGGUAAUACGGAGGAUCCGAGCGUUAUCCGGAUUUAUUGGGUUUAAAGGGAGCGUAGGCGGGUUGUUAAGUCAGUUGUGAAAGUUUGCGGCUCAACCGUAAAAUUGCAGUUGAUACUGGCGACCUUGAGUGCAACAGAGGUAGGCGGAAUUCGUGGUGUAGCGGUGAAAUGCUUAGAUAUCACGAAGAACUCCGAUUGCGAAGGCAGCUUACU
rnacentral:rRNA from 1 species